UGGAUUUCCUUUAUGAGGAAUCCAAAAUACAAUCUAUCUUCAUUUUCAACAUUUUGGAUUCGUUUGAAAAUCUUCUCAUUAUCUCCUUCAAAGAGAGUUCGUCUGAAACCACAAUCCAGCGCAAACCUAAGAGACAUCAUUAAAGCAAAACUUCUGCAAUUAAAACAUCUUUGAAUCGUGGUGCACACCAAGUUGCUGCUGCUAGAACCAAACCUUUGUUGUCACGAGCAAUGGUACCUAAUCCCCACCAACCGUCGACCUGGAGGUUGGCAUCAGAGUUCAUUUUGACCAGAUUGUCUGUUGGUUUUUUCCAAGUCGUCACUCUCUUAGGUUUUGAGGAAUACCCAGAGUAACAAGCCAGCGUAGCUUUAGCGUUUUGGGGGAGAUGAGCUUCGUGGAAAUCGUGAAUACUAUUAGCUGCUCGAUGGAUGAUGUCCUCUUCAGGUAUUCUUUUGUCUUCAAAAACCCUUUGAUUUCUAUCAAACCAAAUAUGAUAAGUUAAAUCUGCUAUCUGAAUGGUGAUAUCUGGUUCGUUGUGUUCAAUAGCAUAAGAUAUCCAAUCAGAAAAAUUGGUAAUAGGAGAUUUAUCAAUGUUGAUGUUGAGCUGACUCCCAAACCAGACUCUGGUUAUGUAGGAACAAGUCAUAAAGGCAUGAUUGAUGUCUUCAAUCUUAGAAUUACAGUGAGGGCAUAAGGGAGAACAUUGAAUCCCUCUCUUUCCUAAUUCGCUCCUAAGGGGUAAGGAGUUAUUUAUGACUCUCCAUAGGAAAUUUUUGUGUCUAGGAAUGGUCUUUAAGGCCCAAAGUUUUUUCCAGAUAGUAGUGUCUUGAUUACUGGUUGUAGGAGCCUGAUUAGAAUUGGUUUUCCAAGAGGCAAUGGCUUGAUAGCCACUUAUAUGAUCUAUAGUUAAUAGUUAAAAUUUCAAUCAGUACUUCCAAAACACUGUAUGUAAAUAUAGUCUCAGAAUGCAAACAUCAAGAUUCGAACUGCAUAAUUUCUUCAUACAAAACAAAGAUGCUAAUCUAAAAUAUUUUGGUAAUCAAUCUAAAAUAUCCUGGUACUCAAUCUAAGAUAUUCUUGUCCGCAAUAUGAUAUAUUUUGGUACUCAAUCUAACACAUAGGGUGAAAAUAGGUCAAGUGAGACUUCGGUAGGCCUAAGCUUGGCCUAUGAAAAUUUUACAAACCUGAGUUUGGCUUAUGGCCCUACUUAGGCCUUUUUAAUUUGGCUUGGUUUGACCUAUUUAAAAGUCUAUUCUGGCUUGAAAGCCUAUUUAUAGGCCUAUUUCGUAUUAAAGCCGUUUAAUAUUCCAUUUUAUCUACUUCUAAUUAGGCUAAACAUAGUCCAUUAAAGUCUAUUUCACUAUAAGGCCUUAAAACCUAUUUAAAUAGUCCAUUAUUUAUGUUGUUUCCUUAUUUUUAUGUUUAGUAUAAAUAAAUAAAAAAGUUGUAAUAAUGUGCAUAAACAUGUCGGUCUAUUAGGUUUCGUAGGCUUUUUUAAUAGUCUAAGUCUAACCUAUUUACUUAAAUAGGGUUUUUUUUAUAACAGGAAAAAACUGUAGUUUAUCAUGUUACACUUAUCCCCCAUAAUGAAUAAGAAAUUGAGUGAAUGCGUGGCAUAAAGCAUCUAAUCAGUGACUAUUUAGGAAUUUACAGUUUUAAUUAUUUUUAGUGUAGUUUAAUCAUUUUGAACUAGCAAUGCUUGUUUUGGAUGUUUAAUGGAACUGAGUGAAGAAUGAUACUAGAGAUCUAGGGAGCUAAAGCUUGGAAUCAGAGAUUCAUUGCUGAAAAUAUGGAAGGAUGUAGCGCACGAGAUCGCCAACCGAGUCGUACUAUUGUACAAACUGAUGGGAGCCUUCUUACCAUUGCUUAAUGAGCAAGUUCUACGAGUUGGCACCAAUGAUUAGCAGUACAAGGAAUAAAGGACUAUGUCUGACGAUGAUGGGAUAAGACAAGGACAACUCAUAUAAUGGUUCUAUGGGUCCAAAAUUGUAUACUUAUGAAUUGAACGACUAAGUCUAGUCAGGGUUAGUAGCACUAGAGUUCUCGCUCCAUCCCUUCUUCUCCAUAGAUGGUCAUGGGUGCUAUUCUUAGUGAUUUAAAGUUAGUAUUAUUUUGGUUAUUCUUCAAGCUCACCUAUUUCCUUCUUGGAUUGUAAUCUAUUACUAGC
rnacentral:lncRNA from 1 species